AGCAGCCGCGGUAAUUCCAGCUCCAAUAGCGUAUAUUAAAGUUGUUGCAGUUAAAAAGCUCGUAGUUGAAUUUCGGGACCAUCAUGUCGGUCGUGCCUCGGUACGUACUGGCAUUGUUGGUUUCUACCUUCUGACGAACCAUGAUGUCAUUUAUUUGGUGUCGCGGGAAAUCAGGACUGUUACUUUGAAAAAAAUUAGAGUGUUUAAAGCAGGCUCACGCUUGAAUACAUUAGCAUGGAAUAAUGAAAUAGGACGUUUGAUUCUAUUUUGUUGGUUUCUAGGAUCGACGUAAUGAUUAAUAGGGAUAGUUGGGGGGCAUUAGUAUUCAAUUGUCAGAGGUGAAAUUCUUGGAUUUAUUGAAGACUAACUACUGCGAAAGCAUUUGCCAAGGAUGUUUUCAUUAAUCAAGAACGAAAGUUAGGGGAUCGAAGACGAUCAGAUACCGUCGUAGUCUUAACCAUAAACUAUGCCGACUAGGGAUCGGAUGAUGUUAAUUUUUUAAUGACUCAUUCGGCGCCUU
rnacentral:misc_RNA from 1 species